rnacentral:rRNA from 1 species
UGGGCAACCUGCCCCUCUCUCUGGGAUAACCCCCGGGGAAACCGGAGCUAAUACCGGAUACUCCGGCUGGAUCGCAUGGUCCGGCCGGGAAAGGUCCACCGGAGAGGGAUGGGCCCGCGGCCUAUCAGCUUGUUGGUGGGGUAACGGCUCACCAAGGCUACGACGGGUAGCUGGUCUGAGAGGACGACCAGCCACACUGGAACUGAGAUACGGUCCAGACCUCCUACGGGAGCA